GACGAACGCUGGCGGCGUGCUUAACACAUGCAAGUCGAGCGGUAAGGCCCUUUCGGGGGUACACGAGCGGCGAACGGGUGAGUAACACGUGGGUGACCUGCCCUCAGCUCUGGGAUAAGCCUGGGAAACCGGGUCUAAUACUGGAUAUGACUCCAUGACGCAUGUUGUGGGGUGGAAAGCCUUGUGCGGCUGAGGAUGGGCCCGCGGCCUAUCAGCUUGUUGGUGGGGUGANGGCCUACCAAGGCGACGACGGGUAGCCGGCCUGAGAGGGCGACCGGCCACACUGGGACGUGAGACACGGCCCAGACUCCUACGGGAGGCAGCAGUGGGGAAUCUUGCGCAAUGGGCGAAAGCCUGACGCAGCGACGCCGCGUGAGGGAUGACGGCCU
rnacentral:rRNA from 1 species